ensembl:lncRNA
AGCUCUUUGUGACCCUAUGUCUUUGUGACGCUGGCAGGUACAGCCUGCCAGGCUUCUCUAUCUAUAGAAGUUUCCAGGCAAGAAUACUGGAGUGGGUUGCCAUCUCCUUCUGCAGGGAAUUGAACCUGCAUGUCUUGCAAUUGGCAGAUGGAUUCUUUACCACUGUGCCACCAGAAGUUUUUUUCAUGAUUGGCCCUGAUAAGUAAAUUGAAAUCACAUCAGAUUUUGACUGCUUGGCUCUGUAGAGGUAAGGAGCAGCGGCUGCUGUGCUUUCCUGGAGCAGCGGUGAAGAGAUACCCCACACCCAAGCUGCUCCAGCAAAGCCCAGCCACUGCUCCUUACCUUGGAUGAGGUCACCCCUCCUGACCUUGAACGUGGAGUAGCUCCUCUCCGCCCUUUUUGAGAACUAAAGCGGUCCCUUUUUUGAAGCCCUGCAAACUGAAGCAGAAUAGCUGAUAUACAUUUAAGAGAGAUCACCACAAUGUAAGAGAGACUGGCUGAUCACAGUCUUUAGCAUGGGACUGUUGCUAUGCACUGUGACCUUCAUACCCACACCACCCCCCCUCUUACUAGGCAACAGUUAUGGUCCUGCUCAGCUAUUGGUUGGCCCUGCAGUGGGCUCCUCCCCCAUGUGACCAACUGUCACUGAGUGACUGUUAGUGGUCCUGCUCUGCCAUUGGUUCGUGCUGCAGUGGGCCCCUCCCAUGAGUGACCAACUGUCAGUGAGCAACUGUUGGUGGGGUAUUCAUCCAAGGAUCCAAAGAGUGGUGGCCCUCAGGUGGAGAGUGAGCCAGGACUGGACCUUGGAGGGUGAGGAUUGAGCCUUGGGACCUUGCCCUUCCUUGUCGGAACAGAGAAGAUUUGUUUGGUGGAGAUUUAUAGGGACUUCGUUACCUGACUAUGACCUGACCUCAAGAACAAAGGGUCUGACACCAAGAAGUUUACAACAGCCAACCACACCCCUUCCUCACCUUUCUAAGAAUGGGCUUUGCUGAAAGCUUUCGGUAGUUUGGGCCAUCUCCUUCCAUAGUCCUGCAAUAAACCUUUCUCUGUUCCAUACUACAAUGUUUUGAUAUUGUUUGACCUCACUGUGCCUUGGGCACACAAACGUGUGUUUUGGUAACAAUAGCUCAGGUUUAGAUGAUUUGUCUGUUGAUAGAAAGUCUACCUGCACAUCAGUGACAUCAUCAGAGAUAUUGCAACCUGCAAAGCUGGCAGCUCUCAGGACUCAGACACUGAGUUUAUAAUUUGCUCCAGCUACUAACCUUUGUUUUCCUUUUGUCGCCAUAGAAAUGCCUUGUAGUAAAUACUGGACUUCUCGAAUAAUAUAGGACUAAUUUUAAGAGUCCGCAACAUCACCACUUCCUGAAAUGAGACACAACUGUUUAGCUGAAUUGACCUAUUUUUAGGACUGAGUAACUGGUUCAAAAAAGAUAUGGAGUAAUGUAUCAACUUAGCUUCUAAACUGUGAAACUUCUUGGAGAAGUUUCAAAGGCAGGACUGUAGCGGAACAGGAUUUGCUGCCCCAAAAUAUGUCUCUUUAGAAUAUUUUAAGUUGG